GAUGAACGCUGGCGGCGUGCCUAAUACAUGCAAGUCGAGCGAACAGACGAGGAGCUUGCUCCUCUGACGUUAGCGGCGGACGGGUGAGUAACACGUGGAUAACCUACCUAUAAGACUGGGAUAACUUCGGGAAACCGGAGCUAAUACCGGAUAAUAUAUUGAACCGCAUGGUUCAAUAGUGAAAGACGGUUUUGCUGUCACUUAUAGAUGGAUCCGCGCCGCGUUAGCUAGUUGGUAAGGUAACGGCUUACCAAGGCAACGAUGCGUAGCCGACCUGAGAGGGUGAUCGGCCACACUGGAACUGAGACACGGUCCAGACUCCUACGGGAGGCAGCAGUAGGGAAUCUUCCGCAAUGGGCGAAAGCCUGACGGAGCAACGCCGCGUGAAUGAUGAAGGUCUUCGGAUCGUAAAACUCUGUUAUUAGGGAAGAACAAAUGUGUAAGUAACUAUGCACGUCUUGACGGUACCUAAUCAGAAAGCCACGGCUAACUACGUG
rnacentral:rRNA from 1 species